rnacentral:lncRNA from 1 species
UUCCUUUUCCUCUCCGACAUCAGUAUGAAUCUGGAAGGGGCCAAUUCAGACUGUUAGCCCCCUUUCUUUCUAUUCAUGAACUCUUUUCCCCUUACGUCUUGGGUCAUUUUAAAUUAUUCAUAACCGCCAAAGGAGGUAGUGAUGUUUUCCAUCACUACCUUUUUGAUGCUUUUCUCCCUCUCUUUACCCUCUUCCUUCUGGUUGCAAACAAGGCCCGAUGAGAGAAAGGGAAAGUUAAGGAUGCUGGAGCAGAACAAUGGAUUUCUCUUUCUCUUUCAUGCAAGGGAUCAUGGGAAACACA